UACAGAGGUCUCAACCGUUGUUCGGAUUCAUUGGGCGUAAAGGGUGCGUAGGCGGUUCCGUAAGUCGUGAAGUCAAAUCUCUGGGCUCAACCCAGAAUCGCUUCCGAUACUGCGGUGACUGGAGUCCGGUAGGGGAGUGUGGAAUUCCUGGUGUAGCGGUGAAAUGCGCAGAUAUCAGGAGGAACACCAACAGCGAAGGCAGCACUCUGGGCCGGUACUGACGCUGAGGAGCGAAAGCAUGGGGAGCGAACAGG
rnacentral:rRNA from 1 species